GGAAUCGCUAGUAAUCGCGAAUCAGAAUGUCGCGGUGAAUACGUUCCCGGGUCUUGUACACACCGCCCGUCACACCAUGGAGUCGGAUAUGCCCGAAGUCAGUGACCCAACCAUAUGGAGGGAGCUGCCGAAGGUGGAGCCGAUAACUGGGUGAAGUCGUAACAAGGUAUC
rnacentral:rRNA from 1 species